UUAUUAUUUUUUAAUAUUUUUUUUGAAGGGCUUGGAAUCAAAAGGAGAGAAAAAAGAGUCACUGGAUUUUUUGGAGAAGAACGAGAUUCAAGCUUGGUUUGAGAUUUUGAAGGCCACCUAUAAAAUUUUCAUCUUUUUAUUUGAAAAUUUUGAGAGAAGUUAGAUUAUGUUGUUAGUAUUAGAUUUCUAAUAAGAUAAGGAUUUCUUAAUUUGAAAUAAAGGCAGAAUUUUGGUGGAAUUUUGAGUGCAAAGGGGUCGGCUACCUUGGCAGUUUAGAUCAACCACCUUUGAAAAGGCAUUUCUUAGUGCUUCUUAAUUGGAUUAUUGUGAAAUUUUAGAAAUAAGUGUAUCUUCAAGCUAAGCUUUUAAUGGAAUAAAUUUCAUUGAAUUCAAAGAAAAAUUUGAAUUUUUGGUUAAUUUUUAAGUGGGGGGAGGUUGCCUACUGCAGUAGUCUUGGUCACUCAACUUUAAAGGAGUAAUUCUCACGGCUU
rnacentral:lncRNA from 1 species